GGUUAGCUCUUUCCCCUUGAAAGCUUCCUUAAACAAGUGGCAAGUGAGAAAACUGAAUUCGGACCCUGCUCAGCUUCACUUUGGUUUGGUAAAGGGACCAAACUCACCAUCCUUGCCUGUUGACCCCGUGGUGGAGGAGGCUUUGGGGUGGGAAGUGACAUCCAGCUGGCUGUUUGAAACCUCAUCCCAGCAUUCAGAAGCUUUCUCACUUGCUGGCUGGACUGAAGCCAACUCUUUGAAUUCAACUGAGCAUGGCUAAGAUACUGAGGAUUUUGGAAAGGUUCAGAAACUGCACUGCCAUCACGAUCUCAUCAGGACCGAAACUCAAGAUCAAUUAUUGUUUGAUAGAAUGUGGAAGGAUGAAGCUUCCACAAAUCCUUCAUAAAAUCUUAUUGUAGAAUAUGAGUUCCCUGAAAAGAUCAGACUUCAAUCAUCUCAUUUAAUAGAAAAGUCAGUUGAGGCUCAGAAAGUGAAAAUGACUUUCUCAAAGCCAGAUUAAAAAGUAACAAAGUGAAGGGUGAAGCAUGAUUUUCAUAGAACCUAGGUUUUGGAAGGGAACUCAGAGGUCAUGUGGUUCAUCUUCCUACUCAACACAGAAAUCCCCAGAAGAGAAGCAGCCAAUAUCCUCUUGAAUACCCUAAAGAACCAAGGUAUUAACUCAACACAUUCUCAUAUGAUGAAC
ensembl:lncRNA